rnacentral:ribozyme from 14 species
UACUUUUUUUCUUCUACUUUAUGAUUUUUUAAUGAUUUUUAUUUUAAAUAAAAAAAAAAAAAA